rnacentral:rRNA from 1 species
UACGGGGGGGGCAAGCGUUGUUCGGAAUUACUGGGCGUAAAGGGCUCGUAGGCGGCCAACUAAGUCGGAGGUGAAAUCCCUCGGCUCAACUGAGGAAUUGCCUUCGAUACUGUUCGGCUUGAGUCCUGGAGAGGGUAGCGGAAUUCCCGGUGUAGCGGUGAAAUGCGUAGAGACCGGGAAGAACACCAGUGGCGAAGGCGGCUACCUGGACAGGUACUGACGCUGAAGCGCGAAAGCUAGGGGAGCAAACAGG